UACGUAGGCAGCAAGCGUUGUUCGGAGUUACUGGGCGUAAAGGGUGUGUAGGCGGUUCUUUUAAGUUUGGUGUGAAAUCUCCCGGCUCAACUGGGAGGGUGCGCCGAAUACUGAAUGACUAGAGUGCGGGAGAGGAAAGUGGAAUUCCUGGUGUAGCGGUGAAAUGCGUAGAUAUCAGGAGGAACACCGGUGGUGUAGACGGCUUUCUGGACCGUAACUGACGCUGAGACACGAAAGCGUGGGUAGCAAACAGG
rnacentral:rRNA from 1 species